AUGUCAUAUACUUGGAGGAGCAUAUUGCAAGGUAUUGAGCUGCUGCGAAACGGAAUAAUAAAGCGGGUGGGUGAUGGUUCCAGCAUCAAUAUUUGGGCAGAUCCAUGGCUGCCUAGGCAAUGGUCCAGAAGGCCGAUUACACCCCGAGGAGGCUCUUUGGUCACGAAGGUGCAAGAACUGUUUGAUCCAUACACAGGUAGUUGGGAUAUACAGCUUGUCCACGAUCUAUUCUGGGCAGUGGAUGCCUCUUUGAUCCUUGCGAUCCCAGUUAAAACAGAUAUAGAGGAUGAUUGGGCAUGGUCAUGUGACCCCAAAGGAAUCUUCUCAGUUAAGUCGGCGUACAAGUUGCAUCGGCUCAUUGGACGAAGGGAACAAGCGGGAACUUCAGAUGCAGCAGGGCAGGAGGAAUUUCAUUGGUAUGAUAUCUGGAAUGCUCCGUAUACAGCGACGGCAAAACAAUUUUUAUGGCGCAUCGCGCACAAUAGCUUGCCAACGCUGCUCGGAAUCAAGCGAAGAGGGAUUGAGACUAAUACCCUCUGCCCAGUUUGUCACCGUUUUGAUGAAGACGGAGCUCACUUGUUUCUCAAGUGUAAGGAGGUACGCAAAGUUUGGGCAGGCCUGGAAAUGGAGAAUGAACGCCAAAUGCUCCUGGAAUGUGUUGGCCCCAAAGAAUUCUUAAACAGGCUACUGAAAUGGGAGACAAAGAAGGCCAUGACAAGUAUCGCCUUACUAUGGACUUGGUGGAAGACAAGAAAUAAGAUAAAUGCAGAGAACAUGAAGCUGGACAUCGGCGCCGCGCUGUUCCAAACCAGGAGAAUGGUCACUGAUUUUGAGACUUUUUGCCUUAAGACUCCAAGGGAGAGGAUCGCUCAGGUGCAGAAAUGGGAACCCCCAACAGAUGACACACUGAAGAUUAACACAGAUGGGAGUUUUUUUCUGAAUGAGAGGGCAGGAGGCUGGGGCUUUGUGAUUCGCGAUAGGGCUGGGGAAGCUGUUGGCUCAGGGGCGGGCAAGCUCAAUUACUUGCAAGACUCGCUUCAGGCGGAAGCGGAGGCAUGCUUACACGCUAUUACGGCUGCGCAGGGAUGGGGCAUGACAAACAUUGUGGUCGAGACGGAUUCUUGUGAACUUAUUCAGGCGGUAACCACACAGCUCUACGACCUCUCUUCCAAUGGAGCCCUGUUCUGUGAGAUUAAAGCAUUUGUUAGUCUGAAUUUCUCCUCUUUCAAGUUUGUGCACUGUCCUAGAACCUAUAAUAAGAUUGCUGAUGCACUAGCGGCUUUUGGUGCGAAGAUGAACACAUACCCCCAAGCCAUAUGGCCGGGUGGAGCCCCUACCUUUGUACGUGACUUGAUGGCCAGCGAUUUUGCUGCGCCUGCUGGUUAA
rnacentral:rRNA from 1 species